rnacentral:rRNA from 1 species
UAUGCUUAGCCUUAAACCCAGAUGCACCCUUACAUUUACAUCCGCCAGGGUACUACAAGCACAGCUUAAAACCCAAAGGACUUGGCGGUGCCUCAGACCCACCUAGAGGAGCCUGUUCUAGAACCGAUAACCCCCGUUAAACCUCACCACUUCUUGUUUCUCCCGCCUAUAUACCGCCGUCGUCAGCUUACCCUGUGAAGGCCCAACAGUAAGCAAAAUGGGCUCGCCCAAAAACGUCAGGUCGAGGUGUAGCGUACGAAGUGGGAAGAAAUGGGCUACAUUACCUGCAACAACAGGAUACCACGGACGGCACUAUGAAACUAGCGCCCAAAGGUGGAUUUAGUAGUAAAAAACAAAUAGAGAGUCUUUUUGAAUUAGGCUCUGAGGCGC